rnacentral:rRNA from 1 species
GACGUAGGGCGCGAGCGUUGUCCGGAUUUAUUGGGCGUAAAGAGCUCGUAGGCGGCUUGUUGCGUCAGCUGUGAAAACCCGCAGCUCAACUGUGGGCUUGCAGCUGAUACGGGCAGGCUUGAGUUCGGUAGGGGAGACUGGAAUUCCUGGUGUAGCGGUGAAAAUGCGCAGAUAUCAGGAGGAACACCGGUGGCGAAGGCGGAUCUCUGGGCCUUACCUGACGCUCAGGCGCGAAGGCCAGGGGGAGCAAAACGGG